UGGGGAAUUUUGGACAAUGGGCGCAAGCCUGAUCCAGCCAUGCCGCGUGCGGGAAGAAGGCCUUCGGGUUGUAAACCGCUUUUGUCAGGGAAGAAAUCUUCUGAGUUAAUACCUCGGGAGGAUGACGGUACCUGAAGAAUAAGCACCGGCUAACUACGUGCCAGCAGCCGCGGUAAUACGUAGGGUGCAAGCGUUAAUCGGAAUUACUGGGCGUAAAGCGUGCGCAGGCGGUUUUGUAAGACAGAGGUGAAAUCCCCGGGCUCAACCUGGGAACUGCCUUUGUGACUGCAAGGCUUGAGUGCGGCAGAGGGGGAUGGAAUUCCGCGUGUAGCAGUGAAAUGCGUAGAUAUGCGGAGGAAACACCGAUGGCGAAGGCAAUCCCCUGGGCCUGCACUGACGCUCAUGCACGAAAGCGUGGGGAGCAAACAGGAUUAGAUAGCCCUGGUAGUCCACGCCCUAAAACGAUGUCAACUGGCUUGUUGGGAAGGUUCCUUCUCAGUAACGUAGCUAACGCGUGAAGUUGACCGCCUGGGGAGUACGGCCGCAA
rnacentral:rRNA from 1 species